CGGCCCGCGUUAGAUUAGAUAGUUGGUGGGGUAAUGGCCUACCAAGUCUACGAUCUAUAGCUGGUUUUAGAGGAUGAUCAGCAACACUGGGACUGAGACACGGCCCAGACUCCUACGGGAGGCAGCAGUGGGGAAUCUUGGACAAUGGGCGCAAGCCUGAUCCAGCUAUGCCGCGUGAGUGAUGAAGGCCUUAGGGUCGUAAAGCUCUUUCGCCUGUGAUGUGACAGUAGCAGGUAAAGAAACCCCGGCUAACUCCGUGCCAGCAGCCGCGGUAAUACGGAGGGGGUUAGCGUUGUUCGGAAUUACUGGGCGUAAAGCGCGCGUAGGCGGACUAGUCAGUCAGGGGUGAAAUCCCGGGGCUCAACCCCGGAACUGCCUUUGAUACUGCUAGUCUAGAGUUCGAAGAGAGUGAGUGGAAUUCCGAGUGUAGAGGUGACAUUCGUAGAU
rnacentral:rRNA from 1 species